rnacentral:rRNA from 1 species
UACGUAGGGGGCGAGCGUUGUCCGGAAUUACUGGGCGUAAAGGGUGCGUAGGCGGAUAUGCAAGUCCGAUGUGAAAUGUUACGGCUUAACCGUGGAGUUGCAUUGGAAACUGUGUAUCUAGAGUACAGGAGAGGGAAGCGGAAUUCCUAGUGUAGCGGUGAAAUGCGUAGAUAUUAGGAGGAACACCAGUGGCGAAGGCGGCUUCCUGGACUGACACUGACGCUGAGGCACGAAAGCUGGGGCAGCGAACAGGAUUAGAUACC